rnacentral:rRNA from 1 species
GACGAACGCUGGCGGCGUGCUUAACACAUGCAAGUCGAACGGAAAGGCCCUGCUUUUGUGGGGUGCUCGAGUGGCGAACGGGUGAGUAACACGUGAGUAACCUGCCCUUGACUUUGGGAUAACUUCAGGAAACUGGGGCUAAUACCGGAUAGGAGCGCCUGCUGCAUGGUGGGGGUUGGAAAGUUUCGGCGGUUGGGGAUGGACUCGCGGCUUAUCAGCUUGUUGGUGGGGUAGUGGCUUACCAGGGCGUUGAUGGGUAGCCGGCCUGAGAGGGUGACCGGCCAAAGGGGGACUAGGAGAGGGCCCAGGUGCGUAGGGGGGGGAGAAGGGGGGAAUAUGCCACAAGGGGCGGAGGCCGGAUGAAGAACCGCGGCGUGUGGGAGGACGGCCGUCGGGUGGUAAACCGCUUUCGCCUGUGACGAAGGGUGAUGAAGGGAAAGGGGUAAAGAGGCCCGGGUAAACUAGUG